rnacentral:rRNA from 1 species
AUUCCAAUCGAACUUGGAGAUAGCUGGUUCUCCCCGAAAUAGCUUUAGGGCUAGCCUCAGGGUAAAGAUUGCAGGCGGUAGAGCACUGAUCAGGAGAGGGACCUACCCGGUUACCAAACCCAGUCAAACUACGAAUGGCUGCAAUUAUACCUGGGAGUCAGACUACGACUUAUAAGGGCCGUGGUCAAAAGGGAAACAGCCCAGAUCAUCAGCUAAGGUCCCAAAUGCCGUGCUAAGUGGCGAAGGAUGUGGCGUUUCAUAAACAACCAGGAUGUUGGCUCAGAAGCAGCCACCAUUUAAAGAGUGCGUAAUAGCUCACUGGUCGAGAGACGCUGCGCCGAAAAUGUCCGGGGCUCAAGCACGGAACCGAAGCUAUGGCAUUGCGUAAGCAAUGGGUAGGGGAGCGUUCUUAUGGGGAAGAAGCAUUACCGUAAGGAGAUGUGGACACAUAAGAAGUGAGAAUGCCGGUAUGAGUAUCGAAAAGAAAGGUGAGAAUCCUUUCCACCGAAAGCCCGAGGGUUCCUGAGCAACGAUCGUCGUCUCAGGGUAAGUCGGGACCUAAGCCGAGGCACAGACGCAUAGGCGAUGGACAACAGGUUGAAAUUCCUGUACCGGAUGGAGUCAUUUGAGCAAUGGAGUGACGCAGGAGGGCACAUGAUCGCGCGACUGGAAGAGCGCGUCCAAGUGCGUAUGUUGAAUCGGAGGCAAAUCCCCGAUUCUGAAAGCAGAGACAUGAUGGGGAGUUAUAAGCGAUUAUGACGAACUCAUGGAUCCCACACUGCCAAGAAAAACUUCUAGCGAGACGAAAUCCGCCCGUACCGUAAACCGACACAGGUAGGCGGGGAGAGAAUCCUAAGGUGCGCGGGAAAACCCUCGUUAAGGAACUCGGCAAAUUGCAUCCGUAACUUCGGGAGAAGGAUGGCCCUGAGUAGGCGAAGUGCAGAAACGCACGGAACAGAAAAGGGUGGCAGAAAAGAGGCCCAAGCAACUGUUUACCAAAAACACAGGUGCCUGCGAAAGCGAAAGCUGAAGUAUAGGUGCUGACGCCUGCCCGGUGCUGGAAGGUUAAGGAGAGAGGUUAGCGCAAGCGAAGCUUUGAACUGAAGCCCCAGUGAACGGCGGCCGUAACUAUAACGGUCCUAAGGUAGCGAAAUUCCUUGUCGGGUAAGUUCCGACCCGCAUGAAAGGCGUAAUGAUUUGGGCGCUGUCUCAACGAGGGGCCCGGUGAAAUUGAAAUACCUGUGAAGAUGCAGGUUACCCGCGACUGGACAGAAAGACCCCAUGGAGCUUUACUGCAGCUUGAGAUUGAAUCCCGGUGGCAGACGCACAGGAUAGGUGGGAGGCUUUGAGAUAGUGACUUUGGUUGCUAUGGAGCCGACGUUGGGAUACCACCCUUCUGUUGCUGGGAUUCUAACGCGAAGAUUAACAACCUUGCGGACCAUCUCAGGUAGGCGGUUUGACUGGGGCGGUCGCCUCCGAAAGAGUAACGGAGGCGCCCAAAGGUUCCCUCAGGCCGGACAGAAACCGGCCGAAGAGUGCAAAGGCAGAAGGGAGCUUGACUGCGAGACAGACAAGUCGAGCAGAGACGAAAGUCGGGCUUAGUGAUCCGGUGGUACUGCGUGGAAAGGCCAUCGCUCAACGGAUAAAAGCUACCCUGGGGAUAACAGGCUAAUCUCUCCCAAGAGUUCAUAUCGACGGGGAGGUUUGGCACCUCGAUGUCGGCUCAUCACAUCCUGGAGCUGGAGUAGGUUCCAAGGGUUGGGCUGUUCGCCCAUUAAAGUGGUACGCGAGCUGGGUUCAAAACGUCGUGAGACAGUUUGGUUCAUAUCCAUCGCGGGCGCAAGAAGUUUGAGGGAGGCUGCUCCUAGUACGAGAGGACCGGAGUGGACGGAUCAACGGUGUACCAGUUGUCACGCCAGUGGCACGGCUGGAAAGCCGCAUCCGGAAAGGAUAAACGCUGAAAGCAUCUAAGCGUGAAGCCCGUCCCAAGAUGAGACUUCUCAUCAGCAAUGAGUAAGACCCCUUAAAGACGAUGAGGUUGAUAGGCUGUGAGUGGAAGAGCCGCGAGGCUUGGAGCGACGCAGUACUAAUAGGUCGAGGUCUUAACUUA